AACGAACGCUGGCGGCAUGCCUAACACAUGCAAGUCGAACGAGACCUUCGGGUCUAGUGGCGCACGGGUGCGUAACGAGGGGGAACCUGCACUUAGGUUCGGAAUAACUCACCGAAAGGGAUGCUAAUAAAGGAGAAUGUCAUCGGACAAACGAUUUAUCGCCUUUGGAUGGGCCCGCGUUGGAUUAGCUAGUUGGUAGGGUAAAAGCCUACCAAGGCGACGAUCCAUAGCUGGUCUGAGAGGAUGAUCAGCCACACUGGGACUGAGACACGGCCCCGACUCCUACGGGAGGCAGCAGUAUGGUAUAUUGUACACUGGGCGAUAGCCUGAUCCAGCCAUGCCGCGUGAGUGAUGAAGGCCUUAGUGUUGUACUGCUCUUUUACCCGGGAUGAUAAUGACAGUACCGGGUGAAUAAGCUCCGGCUAACUCCGUG
rnacentral:rRNA from 1 species